ACGAUACGCGAGAACUACCCGGUUUGACAUUGUAUCGAAGCAUCCAGAGAUGGAUGUGUCUCUUCGGAGACGGUAUGACAGUGCUGCAUGGCUGUCGUCAGCUCGUGCCGUGAAGUGUUGGGUUAAGUCCCGCAACGAGCGCAACCCCUAUCUUUAGUUGCCAUCAGUUCGGCUGGGCACUCUAUGGAGACUGCCACCUAAAGUGGAGGAAGGUGGGGAUGACGUCAAGUCAUCAUGGCCUUUAUGCCCAGGGCUACACACGUGCUACAAUGGCCGGCACAGACGGCAGCUUAGUGGCGACACUUGGCAAAUCCUCUAAAGCCGGUCCCAGUUCGGAUUGCAGUCUGCAACUCGACUGCAUGAAGCCGGAAUCGCUAGUAAUCGCAGAUCAGCCAAGCUGCGGUGAAUACGUUCCCGGGCCUU
rnacentral:rRNA from 1 species